UCGUAAUAGCUCACUAGUCGAGUGAUUGUGCGCCGAAAAUGUAACGGGGCUAAAACUCAUACCGAAGCUUAGGCUUUGCACACUUUGUGUGCGAGGGGUAGAUGAGCGUUGUGUAAGUCUGCGAAGCUACACCGAAAGGAGUAGUGGAGAUAUCACAAGUGAGAAUGCCGGAAUGAGUAGCGAGAAUUAUGUGAGAAUCAUAAUGGUCGAAAAUCUAAGGUUUCUUGAGGAAGGUUCGUCCGCUCAAGGUAAGCCGGGAGCUAAGGCGAGGCCGAGAGGCGUAGUCGAUGCACAUACGGUAAAGAUUCCGUAGCCACCGAAGUCGUUAAAUACAGGGACACAGGAACAUAGCCUAACCCCGCCGUUGGUUGAGUGGGGCGUAAGGGAGCGAAAAUUAGUAGCGAAGUAGGUGAUUGUACACUGGCGGGAAAAGCUGUAUGUAUUGAUAAGGUGCCCGUACCGCAAACCGACACAGGUAGAUGAGGAGAGAAUCCUAAGACCAGCGGGAGAAGUGUUGUUAAGGAACUCGGCAAAAUGACCCCGUAACUUCGGGAUAAGGGGAGCCUACGCGAGUAGGCCGCAGAGAAUAGUCUCAAGCGACUGUUUAGCAAAAACACAGGACUAUGCUAAAUCGAAAGAUGAUGUAUAUGGGCUGACGCCUGCCCGGUGCUGGAAGGUUAAGGGGAAGUGUUAGAGCAAUCGAAGCACUGAACUUAAGCCCCAGUAAACGGCGGCCGUAACAAUAACGGUCCUAAGGUAGCGAAAUUCCUUGUCAGGUAAGUUCUGACCCGCACGAAUGGCGUAACGACUUGAGAGCUGUCUCAACAACAUACCCGGCGAAAUUGAAGUACUGGUAAAGAUGCCAGUUACCCGUGAUAAGACGGAAAGACCCCAUGGAGCUUUACUGUAACUUGAUAUUGAAUUUUUGUAUUACAUGUACAGGAUAGGUGGGAGACAGAGAACUAACGCCGCCAGGUGUUAGGGAGUCGAUGUUGGGAUACCACUCUUGUAAUAUGAAGGUUCUAACCUGCACCCGUGAAUCCGGGUGGGGGACACUGUCAGGUGGACAGUUUGACUGGGGCGGUCGCCUCCUAAAAGGUAACGGAGGCGUUCAAAGGUUGGUUCAGCACGGACGGAAAUCGUGCAACGAGUGCAAACGCAUAAACCAGCCUAACUGCGAGACCGACAAGUCGAGCAGUAACGAAAGUUGGAGUUAGUGAUCCGGCGGUAUGAGAGUGGAAUUGCCGUCGCUCAACGGAUAAAAGCAGCCCUGGGGAUAACAGGCUGAUCUCCCCCAAGAGUCCACAUCGACGGGGAGGUUUGGCACCUCGAUGUCGGCUCAUCGCAUCCUGGAGCUGUAGUCGGUUCCAAGGGUUGGGCUGUUCGCCCAUUAAAGCGGUACGCGAGCUGGGUUCAGAACGUCGCGAGACAGUUCGGUCCCUAUCUAUCACGGGCGUAGGAAAUUUGAGGAGAGCUGACCUUAGUACGAGAGGACCGGGUUGGACGUACCGCUGGUGCACCUGUUGUUCUGCCAAGGGCAUAGCAGGGUAGCUAAGUACGGACGGGAUAAACGCUGAAGGCAUCUAAGCGUGAAGCCCCCUUCGAGAUAAGAUUUCCCAUAGCGUAGGCUAGUAAGGACCCAUGAAGACUACAUGGUUGAUAGGCCGGAGGUGGAAGUGCAGUAAUGUAUGUAGCUGACCGGUACUAAUAGUCCGAGGGCUUGACC
rnacentral:rRNA from 1 species